GAGAUCUGACCUAACAAGAUAGCUGACCAGUACCUUUUAUAGUACUUUAAACACACCCCCAUCAAACUCUCCCACUGCCAAAUAAUUCAUCCUAAGUGUAUAAAAUGGUAACAAGAAUGAUUGGAUGAGGACAUGGCUGUAAAUCGAGGAGUUGUGCAAGCAUAAGAGUGCCACGAGUGUGAGAGGUAUUCAAGUGAGAAUGAGAGGCAUUCAGAGAGCAAUCCAUAGGAAUUUGUUGAUGCCCUGAGCAAUAGAGCGGAAAUGUUCAAUGUGAAUAGUUUGUGAGAAUUGAAGAGCCAUGUGAAUGAACAUAUAGAAACAGCCCAUGCAUUUUUCUGCUACUGACAAAGCAACGAGAAGUCAUGAGAAUUACGAGGAGCAGAGAGGAUUUAGAUCGAGGGUAGUGGCAAAACUCAAUCAAGUUGAGUAGUUAGAGGUGGUUUGGCUAAAACAAUUACUAAACUACCCAUGU
rnacentral:lncRNA from 1 species